GGAGGUAGCUCAGUGGCAGAGCACCUGCCUUGCAAGCAGAAGGUCCCCGGUUCAAUCCCCAGCAUCUCCA